rnacentral:rRNA from 1 species
UACGUAGGGGGCAAGCGUUGUCCGGAUUUAUUGGGCGUAAAGAGCGUGUAGGCGGCCAGACAGGUCUGCUGUGAAAACUCGAGGCUCAACCUCGAGAUGUCGGCGGAAACCGUCUGGCUAGAGUCCGGAAGAGGAGAGUGGAAUUCCUGGUGUAGCGGUGAAAUGCGCAGAUAUCAGGAAGAACACCUAUGGCGAAGGCAGCACUCUGGGACGUGACUGACGCUGAGACGCGAAAGCGUGGGGAGCAAACAGG